rnacentral:rRNA from 1 species
CUGCGGGUCUUACCAUGCAGUCGACGAUGACGGUGGUGCUUGCACCACCUGAUUAGUGGCGAACGGGUGAGUAACACGUGAGUAACCUGCCCCCCACUUCGGGAUAACCUCGGGAAAUCGUGGCUAAUACCGGAUACGAGCACUCAUCGCAUGGUGGGUGCUGGAAAGAUUUAUCGGUGGGGGAUGGACUCGCGGCCUAUCAGUUUGUUGGUGAGGUGAUGGCUCACCAAGACGAUGACGGGUAGCCGGCCUGAGAGGGCGACCGGCCACACUGGGACUGAAACACGGCCCAAACUCCUACGGGAGGCAGCAGUGGGGAAUAUUGCACAAUGGGCGAAAGCCUGAUGCAGCGACGCCGCGUGGGGGAUGACGGCCUUCGGGUUGUAAACCCCUUUCAGUAGGGAAGAAGCGAGAGUGACGGUACCUGCAGAAGAAGCGCCGGCUAACUACGUGCCAGCAGCCGCGGUAAUACGUAGGGCGCAAGCGUUGUCCGGAAUUAUUGGGCGUAAAGAGCUUGUAGGUGGCUUGUCGCGUCUGCCGUGAAAACCCGAGGCUCAACCUCGGGCGUGCGGUGGGUACGGGCAGGCUAGAGUGUGGUAGGGGAGACUGGAACUCCUGGUGUAGCGGUGAAAUGCGCAGAUAUCACGAAGAACACCGAUGGCGAAGGCAGGUCUCUGGGCCAUUACUGACACUGAGAAGCGAAAGCAUGGGUAGCGAACAGGAUUAGAUACCCUGGUAGUCCAUGCCGUAAACGUUGGGCACUAGGUGUGGGGGACAUUCCACGUUUUCCGCGCCGUAGCUAACGCAUUAAGUGCCCCGCCUGGGGAGUACAGCCGCAAGGCUAAAACUCAAAGGAAUUGACGGGGGCCCGCACAAGCGGCGGAGCAUGCUGAUUAUUUCGAUGCAACGCGAGAACCUUACAAGGCUUGACAUGCACUGGACGGCUGCAGAGAUGUGGCUUUCUUUGUACUGGUGCACAGUGUGCAUGGUUGUCGUCAGCUCGUGUCGUGAGAUGUGGGGUUAAGUCCCGCAACGAGCGCAACCCUUGUC